UAAAGGUUUGGUCCCAGCCUUCCUAUUAGUUAUUAGCAAACUUACACAUGCAAGUAUCCGCACUCCUGUGAGAAUACCCUCUAAAUCAUUUAUGAUUAAAAGGAGUAGGUAUCAAGCACACUUAUAUUAAGUAGCUAAUGACACCUUGCUUAGCCACACCCCCACGGGAAACAGCAGUGAUAAAAAUUAAGCCAUAAACGAAAGUUUGACUAAGUUAUGCUAACUACAGGGUUGGUAAAUUUCGUGCCAGCCACCGCGGUCAUACGAUUAACCCAAAUUAAUAGGCAACGGCGUAAAGCGUGUUAAAGAAACCUACUCAAAAUAAAGAUAAAACUUAACUAGGCUGUAGAAAGCAACAGUUAAUACUAAAAUAAACUACGAAAGUGUCUUUAUUAUAUCUGAUCACACGAUAGCUAAGAUCCAAACUGGGAUUAGAUACCCCAUUAUGCUUAGCCCUAAACCUAGGUAAUUAACUCAACAAAAAUACUCGCCAGAGGACUACUAGCAACAGCUUAAAACUCAAAGGACUUGGCGGUGCUUUAUAUCCAUCUAGAGGAGCCUGUUCUAUAAUCGAUAAACCCCGAUAAACCUCACCACCCCUUGCUAAUACAGCCUAUAUACCGCCAUCUUCAGCAAACCCUAAAAAGGAAUAAUAGUAAGCUCAAAUAUAAUAAAUAAAAACGUUAGGUCAAGGUGUAGCUUAUGAGGUGGGAAGAAAUGGGCUACAUUUUCUGUACACAGAACACACGAAAAUUUCUAUGAAAUUAGAAGUCAAAGGAGGAUUUAGUAGUAAGUUAAGAAUAGAGUGCUUAACUGAAUUAGGCCAUGAAGCACGCACACACCGCCCGUCACCCUCCUCAAGUACUUAGACCAAUUUAUUUAUAAUCUUUAGGUCAACUAGAUAUUAGAGGAGAUAAGUCGUAACAAGGUAAGCAUACUGGAAAGUGUGCUUGGAUGAAU
rnacentral:ncRNA from 1 species